UAAUCCAAUUAAAAUUUUAUUAAUUAUAGCAAGUAGAAUAUGAGCAAAAACAGUGCUGGACGACAGGGGAGUCUGCGCUCCGCCAACUGCCGUCCUGAGCAGUUCAAACAGUCCCUUUUUAUACAUCUUUACUUCCGUGUUCAUGAAGUAGUGGAGGUACUCUGCGCAUGCUUCAGUUGUUGUUAGGGGGUCGUUUUCUGCCUCCUGGUGGUCGUUGAGGCCGAAGUAAGAAGUCUUCCUCCUUUGUCCCAUAGUUGACCCCUCAUUCAUAUGUCCUUAUAUGGGGUUGUUUGUCCUGUUUCUGUCGGUUCCUGGAAGUCUGGCGGUUAUCUCGCGAUUGUGGUUAUCUUAUUUUAGUCAAGCGGUGUCUGGUAGCUGUUUGCAUAAGCGAUUUCACAUCUUUUGUUGCCUAACCUUUACAUUGAGCUUAACAUAAAUCUUAAUAAACAAUAUCCUAGUCCAUAGUUUCUCACAAGACCACUACUUGAAUUUACACUGAUUAAGCUAUAUAAAGUUUUACAAUCUGCAUGACACUUCAAUCAACAUUUUAUUGUAUAGAUUAAGCUAAAAAGUCUACACAGGCAUACCUACUGAGUGGCUACAAAAAAUAUAGAAAUUCUCUUGUUGCAAGGAACUACAUGGAGAAGAUGUGAGAAACUAUGGACUAGGAUAUUGUUUAUUAAGAUUUAUGUUAAGCUCAAUGUAAAGGUUAGGCAACAAAGAUGUGAAAUCGCUUAUGCAAACAGAAACCCAGACACUGCUUGAGUAAGAUAAGAUAACCACAAUCGCGAGAUAACCGCCAGACUUCCAGGAACCGACAGAAACAGGACAAACAACCCCAGAUAAGGACAUGUGAAUGAGGGGUCAACUAUGGGAUAAAGGAGAAAGACUUCUUAUUUCGGCCUCAACGACCACCAGGAGGUAGAAAACGAUCCCCUAACAACAACUGAAGCAUGCGCAGAGUACCUCCACUACUUCAUGAACACGGAAGUAAAGAUGUAUAAAAAGGGACUGUUUGAACUGCUCAGCACGGCAGUGGCGGAGCGCAGACUCCCCUGUCGUCCAGCGCUGUUUUUGCUCAUAUUCUACUUGCU
rnacentral:lncRNA from 1 species